AUUGAACGCUGGCGGCAGGCCUAACACAUGCAAGUCGAGCGGAGCUGCGGACGGGUGAGUAAUGCCUAGGAAUCUGCCUGGUAGUGCGGGAUAACGUCCGGAAACGGGCGCUAAUACCGCAUACUAUCAGAUGAGCCUAGGUCGGAUUAGCUAGUUGGUGGGGUAAUGGCCUACAAAGGCGACGAUCCGUAACUGGUCUGAGAGGAGGAUCAGUCACACUGGAACGGAGACACGGUCCCGAAUCCUACGGGAGGCAGAAGUGGGGAAUAUCGGACAAGGGGCGAAAGCCUGAUCCGGACAUGCCGCGUGUGGGAAGAAGGUCUUCGGAUUAUAAAGCACUUUAAGUUGGGAGGCGUUACCAACAGAAUAAGCACCGGCUAACUUCGUGCCAGCAGCCGCGGUAAUAC
rnacentral:rRNA from 1 species